UUUUCACCAAGAGUACAGCAGGCAAUAGAAAACAGAAAUCUGAUUGACAAUGUCCGUAAUGAGUUUGUCCGUGAUAUAUGUGACGCAAUACGGCAGCACACUCUCUAUCCAACCAAAAUGGAACGGGAGCAUGUGGCAAUGAAAGUGGUGGAUGCAUAUCCUUUUCUUAAGGAUUCAAUCGGAAGUGGAAUUGUAAGUUACUGUGUAUAUAGACUAGAUAAGUAAAUGCCUAGAUUAGGUUGGGACAGUUUUCGGAAUAACCAAUAGGAAAUAAUAGAGCGUAAUAUAGUUUUUCGUUUUACCUCAAAAAACCCACAACAGUCUGUUUCAUCCGAAUAGGAAUCAUCCGACCACCUGAUGAUUCCUAUACGGAUGAAACAGACUGUUGUGGUUUUUUUGAGGUAAAACGAUAAACUAUACAGUAUAUAUAUAUAUAUAUAUAUAUAUAUAUAUAUAUAUAUAUAUAUAUAUAUAUAUAUAUAUAUAUAUAUAUAUAUAUAUAUAUAUAUAUAUAUAUAUAUAUAUAUAUAUAUAAAACUUUUUGAUAAAUGAGUAAAGUUGUCCUCCAAAUAUCACCCACAUUUGGCAUAUCGUGCAUUAACCAUAUAUCACAUGCAUGCAUGUUAAAUUCAAUGAGGGACAAUUUAAACUAAUUGCCGAGUAAUACUAAUCGGUGGUUAAAAGAGAGUUAGCACUUUAUUGGAAUUUUGCAGUAUAUGAUUGUAGGCAGCUGUGGUUGUUAAAUUUAGUUCACAUCAAAUUUUUAAUUCCACUGAUGAAAUAUGCAAAUCGCAUGCUAAAAUAUAUUUAAUAAACUUGUUUUGCAGCUAUUUACAAAGUAAAAAACAUGAGCAAUUUCGUAAGCGUGGGAAACGGGGUGCCUGCCCUCCCAGAACUUUUCCUCAAAGUGCCCUUUUUUAACAAAAAGGGUGCCUUUAUGAUGCAGUGCCCCUCCAACUUUAUGCUGCUUUCUACGCCCUUGAGUAAUAUCUAUAUAUGAUCACGGAUAAUUAUUUUUUAUUCAACUUUGCAGGGGUCAUUGGAACAGUCAAUGACAUUUAGGUUUAAGAACCUGAGGAAGAAUAGGUCUGACCAGAAUAAGUCCGCGCCGUCCGGUGAAUUGAAUCCACGCGAGAAUGAACCCUUAACAAGUCAAGUUGAUGCAACAACAUCCAAUCCAAAAAGGAUAAAGCUGACAGCGGCAAGGUCCUUGCCUCCUAUUCCUGAGGCAGAGACAAUCGAGACUUAUAAGGAUCACUGCAAACGAUUAUGCAAGGAAAUGGCAAAGCCAAAGGCAAGAAACCUAACACUAAUAAAAGAGAUCAUGGACUGUAGCUUUGCUAUGCGUCGGCGUGAGAUUAUCGAAGAACCAAAGCCAGUCGCUGUGAUUCUGAAAAAAUUUCCUGCUUUGUCAUUACCUUUUGAA